GUGGGGAAUUUUGGACAAUGGGCGCAAGCCUGAUCCAGCAAUGCCGCGUGCAGGAAGAAGGCCUUCGGGUUGUAAACUGCUUUUGUACGGAACGAAACGGUCCGGGUUAAUACCCUGGGCUAAUGACGGUACCGUAAGAAUAAGCACCGGCUAACUACGUGCCAGCAGCCGCGGUAAUACGUAGGGUGCAAGCGUUAAUCGGAAUUACUGGGCGUAAAGCGUGAGCAGGCGGUUUUGUAAGACAGGCGUGAAAUCCCCGGGCUCAACCUGGGAAUGGCGCUGGUGACUGCAAGGCUGGAGUGCGGCAGAGGAGGAUGGAAUUCCGCGUGUAGCAGUGAAAUGCGUAGAUAUGCGGAGGAACACCGAUGGCGAAGGCAAUCCCCUGGGCCUGCACUGACGCUCAUGCACGAAAGCGUGGGGAGCAAACAGGAUUAGAUACCCGGGUAGUCC
rnacentral:rRNA from 1 species